UCGUUACAAUCAUUAUAAAAAUAAAAAACAAAAAACAUUAAUUGUGUUAAGAAUUUAUGAUUUUCAAUUUUUUUAUUCAUUCACGUGAAAUUAGUUCUAAGUAAGUUAUUUAAUAUACUACAAACAUUUAUUAGGUACUUAUUAAAAUAUGAAUGUUUCAAAUUUUUUUUUAGCUGUUGUCAUAGACAAUGUCGAUUGGAUUGUCUAUCAGCCUUCAUGAACAUCCCCAAAUGACGAACCCUGCGGUAACAUAUUCAGUAUUAUAUAAACAAUUAAAUUUUUCUUACAUUAAUUCAGUGUAAAAUUAUUGCAGUUUGAUAAUAAUAAACAAUGUCUCUUCAUAAUGAACGAUUAAAAAUACAUACAGAACUGUGUGUAUAGUUGGCAGAGGUCAAUGCAGCGGUGGUGGUUCCAUUCAUCAUUGGCGAACUUGGGGCCUGAGAUCCAUCCGACAACAAUGAUCUGUUUAUUUCUGUUUUUAUUAUUACCAUUAUAGGUAAUAGCUGCACCAAAAAUAUAUAUGUU